UACGUAGGGGGCUAGCGUUGUCCGGAAUCAUUGGGCGUAAAGAGCGCGUAGGCGGCCUGCUAAGUCAUACGUGAAAUCCCUCGGCUCAACCGAGGAACUGCGUCUGAUACUGGUUGGCUUGAAUUCGGGAGAGGGAUGCGGAAUUCCAGGUGUAGCGGUGAAAUGCGUAGAUAUCUGGAGGAACACCGGUGGCGAAGGCGGCAUCCUGGACCGAGAUUGACGCUGAUGCGCGAAAGCCAGGGGAGCAAACGGG
rnacentral:rRNA from 1 species